AACGAACGCUGGCGGCAUGCCUAACACAUGCAAGUCGAACGAGACCUUCGGGUCUAGUGGCGCACGGGUGCGUAACGCGUGGGAACCUGCCCUUAGGUUCGGAAUAACUCCCCGAAAGGGGUGCUAAUACCGGAUAAUGUCCUCGGACCAAAGAUUUAUCGCCUUUGGAUGGGCCCGCGUUGGAUUAGCUAGUUGGUAGGGUAAAAGCCUACCAAGGGUACGAUCCAUAGCUGGGCUGAGAGGAUGAGCAGCCACACUGGGACUGAGACACGGCCCAGACUCCUACGGGAGGCAGCAGUGGGGGAUAUUGGACAGUGGGCGGAAGCCUGAUCCAGCAAUGCCGCGUGAGUGAUGAAGGCCUUAGGGUUGUAAAGCUCUUUUACCCGGGAUGAUAAUGACAGUACCGGGAGAAUAAGCACCGGCUAACUCCGUG
rnacentral:rRNA from 1 species